AAAUUGUCGGCCAUGUUCUCUUUCUCUCUCUCUCGCUCAAAACAGACGCACGCUUCGGUUCUCUCUCUCCCGAUCCGUCUCCAGCCGAGGCGGGCGCCGCCGCCGCUGCCGGCGCGGCCGUGCCUGGCAGAGGGCGGCACACCUUGCCGUCUCACUCUCCUCUCUCUCUCAAGGAGCUGCUCGCCCCUUCCUCUCCAGCCUGCUCGCUCGGCGCUCGAUCAGCCCUCCUUCUCCGGCCGCCUUCUCCGGUCAGCGUCGACUGCCGACGCGUCGAACCCCGGCGACGUCCUCUAUCU
rnacentral:lncRNA from 1 species